CCUACGGGAGGCAGCAGUGGGGAAUUUUGGACAAUGGGCGCAAGCCUGAUCCAGCAAUGCCGCGUGCAGGAUGAAGGCCUUCGGGUUGUAAACUGCUUUUGUACGGAGCGAAAAGGUUCCCUCUAAUACAGGGGGGCUCAUGACGGUACCGUAAGAAUAAGCACCGGCUAACUACGUGCCAGCAGCCGCGGUAAUACGUAGGGUGCGAGCGUUAAUCGGAAUUACUGGGCGUAAAGCGUGCGCAGGCGGUUCUAUAAGACAGUUGUGAAAUCCCCGGGCUCAACCUGGGAAUUGCAUCUGUGACUGUAGAGCUAGAGUACGGCGAGAGGGGGAUGGAAUUCCGCGUGUAGCAGUGAAAUGCGUAGAUAUGCGGAGGAACACCGAUGGCGAAGGCAAUCCCCUGGGCCUGUACUGACGCUCAUGCACGAAAGCGUGGGGAGCAAACAGGAUUAGAUACCCUGGUAGUCCACGCCCUAAACGAUGUCAACUGGUUGUUGGGUAAUUUACUUUACUCAGUAACGAAGCUAACGCGUGAAGUUGACCGCCUGGGGAGUACGGCCGCAAGGUUGAAACUCAAAGGAUUGACGG
rnacentral:rRNA from 1 species